rnacentral:rRNA from 1 species
AACGAACGCUGGCGGCAUGCCUAACACAUGCAAGUCGAACGAGACCUUCGGGUCUAGUGGCGCACGGGUGCGUAACGCGUGGGAACCUGCCCUUAGGUUCGGAAUAACUCCCCGAAAGGGGUGCUAAUACCGGAUAAUGUCUUCGGACCAAAGAUUUAUCGCCUUUGGAUGGGCCCGCGUUGGAUUAGCUAGUUGGUAGGGUAAAAGCCUACCAAGGCGACGAUCCAUAGCUGGUCUGAGAGGAUGAUCAGCCACACUGGGACUGAGACACGGCCCAGACUCCUACGGGGGGCAGCAGGGGGGAAUAUUGGAAAAGGGGCGAAAGCCUGAUCCCGCAAUGCCGGGUGAGUGAUGAAGGCCUUAGGGUUGAAAAGCUCUUUUACCCGGGAUGAUAAUGACAGUACCGGGAGAAAAAGCCCCGGCUAACUCCGU